UACGUAGGGUGCAAGCGUUGUCCGGAAUUAUUGGGCGUAAAGAGCUCGUAGGCGGUUUGUUGCGUCGGCUGUGAAAUCCCGAGGCUCAACCUCGGGUCUGCAGUCGAUACGAGCAAACUAGAGUGUUGCAGGGGAGACUGGAAUUCCUGGUGUAGCGGUGAAAUGCGUAGAGAUCGGGAGGAACACCAGAGGCGAAGGCGGCGACCUGGACAGAUACUGACACUCAACUACGAAAGCGUGGGGAGCAAACAGG
rnacentral:rRNA from 1 species